GGUGAUGUGCCGGAUAAAACGGAAUGCGAUGAUGAUGCAGAAUAUAAGAGACUUCUCUUCUUCACUU
rnacentral:tRNA from 1 species